rnacentral:lncRNA from 10 species
AAUAAAACUCCGGUCUCCCACACAGCAGGCUCUGCAGUGAAUUACUCUUUCUCUAUUGUAAUUCCCCUGUCUUGAUAUAUCAGCUGUGUCUAGGCAGCGGGCAAGGUGAACCCAUUGGGCAGUUACGCAGCUGCUGGAUGAACAAAUAAAUGUGUGGAAAAUGAAGAAAAACCGAGAGUCAAAGCUUACAGACUCUGCGAUGUGUCCUGGAUGCAAAGGCCACCUCCUGGAGUUUUUGCUACCUUUGCUUUUCAGCUGAAAGUAUUUUGGGAAGUCGAAGCUUGGAGAGAUUCUGUGAAUUGGUGAAGGACACAGAGCAAAGCCAGGAUUCAGAUUCAGACCUGCUUGACUCCAAGAUCAUUCCAGAAAUCUCCCUUUUCCUUUGGACCCUGUGACGUGACAGCUGGGUUCUUUCUGCUCUGAUUUCCAUGCCUGACAACCAUUUAAAUGGAAUACAAGAAUGCAGUUUUCUUAGGUUGAAAGAAAUUCACCCUUUAUCAAGAAUUAUUUAUAGUUCCUCUGGAGUGAGAGAGGA